rnacentral:rRNA from 1 species
AUACGGAGGAUCCGAGCGUUAUCCGGAUUUAUUGGGUUUAAAGGGAGCGUAGGUGGACAUGUAAGUCAGUUGUGAAAGUUUGCGGCUCAACCGUAAAAUUGCAGUUGAUACUGUGUGUCUUGAGUACAGUAGAGGUGGGCGGAAUUCGUGGUGUAGCGGUGAAAUGCUUAGAUAUCACGAAGAACUCCGAUUGCGAAGGCAGCUCACUGGACUGUUACUGACACUGAGGCUCGAAAGUGUGGGUAUCAAACAGGAUUAGAUACCCUGGUAGUCCACACAGUAAACGAUGAAUACUCGCUGUUUGCGAUAUACAGCAAGCGGCCAAGCGAAAGCAUUAAGUAUUCCACCUGGGGAGUACGCCGGCAACGGUGAAACUCAAAGGAAUUGGCGGGG